UUACUGACGCUAAAGCUCGAAAGUGCGGGUAUCGAACAGGAUUAGAUACCCUGGUAGUCCGCACGGUAAACGAUGGAUGCCCGCUGUUGGCGAUACAUUGUCAGCGGCCAAGCGAAAGCGUUAAGCAUCCCACCUGGGGAGUACGCCGGCAACGGUGAAACUCAAAGGAAUUGACGGGGGCCCGCACAAGCGGAGGAACAUGUGGUUUAAUUCGAUGAUACGCGAGGAACCUUACCCGGGCUUGAACUGCCAGCGAACGAUACAGAGAUGUUGAGGCCCUUCGGGGCGCUGGUGGAGGUGCUGCAUGGUUGUCGUCAGCUCGUGCCGUGAGGUGUCGGCUUAAGUGCCAUAACGAGCGCAACCCCUUUCUUCAGUUGCCAUCAGGUUGAGCUGGGCACUCUGGAGACACUGCCGCCGUAAGGUGUGAGGAAGGUGGGGAUGACGUCAAAUCAGCACGGCCCUUACGUCCGGGGCUACACACGUGUUACAAUGGGUGAUACAGAGAGUCAGUGCAUGGCAAUAUGCAUUCAAUCAUGAAAGUCAUCCUCAGUUCGGAUUGGGGUCUGCAACCCGACCCCAUGAAGCUGGAUUCGCUAGUAAU
rnacentral:rRNA from 1 species